rnacentral:rRNA from 1 species
GACGAACGCUGGCGGCGUGCUUAACACAUGCAAGUCGAGCGGAGCGGCGCACGGGUGAGGAACGCGUGAGUAACUGCCCCCCUCUCUGGGAUAACAGUUGGAAAGGGCUGCUAAUACCGGAUAGUGUGGGAUGGCGCGCGGCCUAUCAGCUGGUGGGUGGGGUGAUGGCCUACGAAGGAGGUGACGGGUAGCCGGCCUGAGAGGGCGACCGGCCACAUUGUGCUGAGAUACGGCCCAAACUCCUACGGGAGGCAGCAGUGUGGAAUAUUGCACAAUGGGGGAAACCCUGAUGCAGCAACGCGCGUGCGGGAUGACGGCCUUCGGGUUGUAAACCGCUUUCAGCCAUGACGCGGUAGUGGCAGAAGAAGCACCGGCUAACUACGUGCCAGCAGCCGCGGUAAUAC